UACGUAGGUGGCAAGCGUUGUCCGGAUUUACUGGGCGUAAAGGGCGCGUAGGCGGCCUACUAAGCCAGACGUGAAAUCCCCCCGGCUUAACCUGGGAACUGCGUCUGAUACUGGAAGGCUUGAGGAUGGGAGAGGGAUGUAGAAUUCCAGGUGUAGCGGUGAAAUGCGUAGAUAUCUGGAGGAAUACCGGUGGCGAAGGCGGCAUCCUGGACCAUUACUGACGCUGAGGCGCGAAAGCUAGGGGGAGCAAACGGG
rnacentral:rRNA from 1 species